UCUGCCCAAGCACAUUUAUUACACAAUUUUAUUAUACCUGAGCCAAAACAAAAGGAGCAUUUUGCACAAUUUGGAAGAUGUGGUUGUUUUUUCUUCCUACCUUCCCCUUGUGCUCCUUGGCAUCAAGCCUCCCUACAUCCCUCAGCCUCUCUGCAGCAGCAAAAGCCCACUCCCUGUGUCCCUUGGCAGAGUAGAUGUGCAGGAUGCUGGCAGGAAAAGAGCACAUGAUAAAUUAGUUAUAAAUGAGCCUGGAAAAAAUUGCGGAUUACUUGACAGGGCUCUCACUUAGCUUACGACUGAAAACGAAACUCUCACGGACAAGAUAUACAUUUUGCUCUCACGUGUGCACAUUUGCCCAACACAGUGAGGUCAGCAGUGUGGAAAUAUGCAAGAGCCCACUCACGUGUCUCCGUCUUCGUCCUGCCCGGUGGCCCGGCUGUAAUCCAUCCCGCUGAGCUGCAUCCUGGCCUCCUCCAGUUUGGUGGCAUCCAUCGACAAACCGAAACACAUCUGUUUCGUCUGAUUCAGACCCAGAAGUGACCACGGCGAGGCCGAGCCGGGACCUGCGGCUGACAUCGGGCAGUCCUGCUCAAAAGAAAACGUGUGACCUAUGUCAACAGCACUAAAAGACUGGGAGCUGCUGCUGUGUCCCAUACUCGGACGACACUGGGAGGCUGUAGGCUGCAGCAUAGCCGGGCUCCGGGUAGCUGGGAUAGUAGCCGAGUGUUGGCUCUGGUGCUGCCGUCCACUGCUCACAGCUCACGGCCAUGUCUGAGUAGCUUCUUGACGCACCUAGAAUAGAGAGGGAUGAGAAUGAUGAGUCAUUUACACACUGUUCAACAUAAAGUGGGGCAGCUGCGGGUCAGGAGGGAGAGCAGGCUGUCUCCCCAAAUUGCCCCGACGACUGUGUUUUGACAGUUUGCGAAUGUGACGCAUGAAUGAGCGAGGAGCAUUGUAUGAAUAUGUGUGAACGGGUGAAGGCCAAU